rnacentral:rRNA from 1 species
UACGAAGGGGGCUAGCGUUGCUCGGAAUCACUGGGCGUAAAGCGCACGUAGGCGGAUCUUUUAAGUCAGGGGUGAAAUCCCAAGGCUCAACCUUGGAACUGCCUUUGAUACUGGGGAUCUCGAGUCCGGAAGGGGUGAGUGGAACUGCGAGUGUAGAGGUGAAAUUCGUAGAUAUUCGCAAGAACACCAGUGGCGAAGGCGGCUCACUGGCCCGAUACUGACGCUGAGGCACGAAGGUCAGGGGAGCAAACGGGG